rnacentral:rRNA from 1 species
CAUGAAGUCGGAAUUGCUAGUAAUCGUAGAUCAGCAUGCUACGGUGAAUACGUUCCCGGGCCUUGUACACACCGCCCGUCAAACCAUGAGAGUUGGCAACACCCGAAGCCUGUGAGCUAACUUUUAGAGGCAGCAGUCGAAGGUAGAAUCAAUGAUUGGGGUGAAGUCGUAACAAGGUAUC